UACGUAGGUGGCAAGCGUUGUCCGGAAUUAUUGGGCGUAAAGCGCGCGCAGGCGGUUUCUUAAGUCUGAUGUGAAAGCCCCCGGCUCAACCGGGGAGGGUCAUUGGAAACUGGGAAACUUGAGUGCAGAAGAGGAAAGUGGAAUUCCAAGUGUAGCGGUGAAAUGCGUAGAGAUUUGGAGGAACACCAGUGGCGAAGGCGAACUUUCUGGUCUGUAACUGACGCUGAGGCGCGAAAGCGUGGGGAGCAAACAGG
rnacentral:rRNA from 1 species